rnacentral:lncRNA from 10 species
GUAGUAACUAUUACUUUGAGAACUUUCUGUAGGCCAAAUUUUAUAACAGGUACCUUACACAGACUCUCAUUUAAGCCUUGCUAUGACUCUAAACAAACCUUUUUAAGAAAUUUUUCAUAAUGAAAUCACCCUUGUAAUUAAUUAUAGCAGAGCUCUCUUGAACAAAGUACAUUUAGAAAAACAAGGGCCACUUAAAAUGUUAAUGUAAUCUACAUUUUUAUGUGCUAAAAAUUUUAAUAACAGAUCCUAAAACCGUUAAGUUAGAGGGAACCAAUAGUUAAUGGAAACUUCUAAUUGUUAGACUAUUUUUUGAAUGUAGCAACACCUUUACUAUUCUAAUUAAAAAUAAAUGGCACAUUAAUUUCUAAUGUCACUGGACAGCUUAAGAAUAUAGACCAUAUUGUGACUGGAAGAAGUGAUCAAUUUUUCAGGUGAAAAACAAACCACAAUUCUGGUCAUUAAGUAAAAGAGGCCUGGUUAAAUAAAUCUACUUUGAAAAUUUCAUUACUAACAACUACACAUGAAUGAACGCUAUGCUUUAAACAGCAAACUUGGCAGGCGCAGUGGUACAGGCGUGUAGGCCCAGCUAGACUCAGGCCGAAGUGGGAGGUUUACUAGAGCCCAGAAAUUCCAGCCUGCUGUACACUAUGAUUAUGCCCAUGAACAGCCACUGCAGUCCUGCUUCAGCAACAUAGCAAGACCUAGUCUCUAUACAAAUAAACGUAACUAAUGAAAAAAGCCCCAGCAAACUCAUAUGCAGUCUCCUCAAAAAAUAUACUUCUUAUACUGUAGCAUUCUAAACCUAAAAGAUAUAUAGUGAGAUGUUUCUCCCCCUGCACUCCCAAAGAAGAGUUGAGAAGUCUUUUUUGUUUUUUUUUUGUUUCUGGAGCUUUGAGAAGUCUUCAUGGAAAGCUUCAUAUAUGGUAAGCACAACCAGAGAUCCAUGAAAUCCAAACUUCACUCCCUGAUACAGUAUACUUUGCAAGAACCCCAACAGUUUAAAUUUGGAAGUUCAGUUUUAAAAAUAGGUUAAUAUCAGUAUCAUGAAGUACUCACAACCUACAUUGUUUCUCUCUUCUGAAUGUUCCAUAUAUAUUGCUCUUCUUCUUGGGAUGUGCUUUUCUGCCUAUACCAUCUUCUCCAAACCCUUUGCACAUACUAUUUGCUCUCCCAGGAACAUCAUUCUAAUAUUUAGCCUACCUUGUGUCUCCUUCCCUCAAACGGCACACAUUUGGUGAGAGGAUUAAAUAAAUAUAAACACACCCAGCAUAUAAUAACUCUGAAUAAAUGAAUGCACAAUCUUUCUUAUCUAUACACCUGGCUAGCAUUCAGAAUUUGGCCUAUGAUAGGCACACUGUUAAGUAUUUGCUGAAAUUAAAACAUGGAGGAUAAAUGUUUUCACUUUAAAAAAAAAAAAAAAGGAGAAGGGACAAAGGAACAGGGUAUGUCCAUUUGGCAUAAAGGAAUUUAAAUAUUUAAAAAUAAAAUCCAAUUAACCAGAACACCCUUCAUCAAAACUAAAGCAAGUUAACUUUCAUGUUACUAUACUAAACAAGGGCAAGUAAUACGCAAACAACAGAUAUUUUUCUGGAAUUAAAAACAAAGUGCACAGAGGUCACAUUCCUAACACACUAAGAAUUUCUGAACAUAUUUCAUUUACAUUGAGAAUAAAUAAUGGUCUCAUUGGUCUAAUAUAAUAUAAUGCCUAUUAGGAGACAAUUCUCCAUUGCUCUCUCACAUUUCUGCCUGUCCUGCAAGCUGCAAACAUGCUCUUUGCUUCAGACUAUCUUUUCAAGGGUGGUCACUUAGCAAAAACCUUGGAAGAUAAAGAAAGUAUGUCUCCCUCUGGAGCAAAAAUGUGGGCUCCCUCAACUUAAGGUUCCUGUCUGCAUCCCAUGCAUGUGCAGAUAUCAUCCAGCCCACUUCAUGUCAUUCUAUGGUAGCUAGAGCUCAGGAAACUGGUGCAAAACAUGCUGAUACUCAUGUCUUUUUACCUUCAGUUAUCCAUAAUUACUAUCCUGUAGUAGGCUAAUUUAUUAGCCUGCAAUAAAAUCUCAGACCCUUCACAAUUCUUGACAAGGAGAAUUUGUACAUCCAUAAAAAUAAUAAUAUGAAAAAAUAAGAGGUCUCACAAGUCUAAGUUUUUUACUAAUAGUUUUUCAGAACAUAUAUGGUAACUGAGUCAAAUGUCUUUUGUUAGUGAACAGUGGAAAGGAUAGCUUUAUGGUACACAUCUGCAAUGCUAUGUGCAUUAAUUAGGUUACUAAGCUACAUAUUUUCUAGACACCUAUUUCCAAAGCACAAGAAUAUUUUGCCUAUUUUUGUUGCCAGGGGGGCCUAUGCUUACUGAUUAAAGAUGCUCUUAAACUGACAGUCUCUUCAGCCAAGCGGAUUUCAAAGAGGGGUUGGUAUAUGUAUUUUGUAAAAAGAAUCCUAAGAGAUUCUGUUAUGCGACCAUCUAUAUCUUACCCAGCUAAGACCAUUACUUCAGGCAAGCCAGCCUCAUAACCAGUAACAUAAUCAUGUACUGUUAUGGUGGUGAUCUACAUAUACCCUCUUAUAAACACUGGAAGUAGUGUAGUUUGGUAAAAAGAGUUCUAAUCCUAGAAUAGCAUUAAUUGAGUAACUGGAGCCACAUUCAUCUAAUUCAAAAGUGCUUCAUUUGCCUUAUCUGUACAGCAAGAAGACUUCACUGGACAAUCACUAAGAUCCUUUCAACUCUAAAAUUCUUUAAUUUACAUGCUACCAGUUGCAGUAAAUGUUGCAGUUCAAUGGAAAACAUUAUUGUCCUACCAAACUAAACAAUAAUAACAAAAAUACGUCAGUCUGGCAUUCUUUUAAGGUAUAAACAAUGCUACGUUUGGAUUAAAAAAAAUUUUAACACAUAAAAAUCAACUUCUAAAUUUAAGGUGCCAAAAUAGGCAACCAUAUUAUUAGUAAAACCCAAUGUUUAUUUCGCCCAGACCUAAACUGUCAAAUACUUAAGACUUAGAAAGAGCGAUGAAAACCUCUUUGAACAUACAGCUUUCAGUAUUUGUUUUGGAGACUUGAAUUUUGUUUUAAAGAGCCUCGGAUAAAGGUUAUUUUAUUUUUAUUUUUAUAGAGACCAGGUUUUGCCAUGCUGCCCAGGGUGGUCUCAAACUCCUGGGCUCAAUCCAUCCACCUGCCUCGCCCUUCCAAAGUGCUGAGAUUACAGGCAUGAGCCACUGCACCUGGCCAAGAAAUUAUUUUGUUAUCCAAAAUAAAUGCAGUCUUUUUCAGGCCAUCAGUUCAUAUUCCUGUAGUAGAUUUAUAUUUGAAGUUCUUCCGAUGCCUGGCAUAUUCAUAAUCAUGGUUCUUCCCUGUUAAAGUAAUCACCUAGUCUAUAAGUACAAGUUCAAGAUUGUCGCAAAUUUCUUCUUGAAUAGAAUCUAGAGAUCACUGCAAAGCAGAUUAAUUAAAGAGGCUUAUGAUGGCAGCAUAUUUUAAAAGAGAUGCGGAAUCAAAUCUAAUUUAUUAGCUCCAUGAGUCUUAUAACCUAUUUAGUCUGUCUAAAUCCCAAUUUCUUCAGAGAAUAAUAUCUGCCACACAAAACUGUUGUCAUAAUUAAAUUAGAUUUUUCAUAAAGAGCCUAACACAGUUGGAUAUGCAGUAAGCAUUCAAUAAAUGACAGACAUUACUAAACGACCAGAAACUCAUUUCGAUGAUCUUUUCUCCAUCUUCCCAAUGAUAUCCCCUACUAUAUCCCAAUAAUAUUCUAUAUUUCUACCAUAUCACAUCUCUUAUGUUGAGCACUCCAUUUUCACACCUUAGAUCAUGCCAUCCUCUCUGCAUGAAUUUUCCUCAUCAAAUUCCUAUCCAUUCUUAAAAUCCUUAAUAAAAUCCCAUGUUCCUUCAAGAGAACUUCAAAUAUCUGCUACUUUCAGAGUCAGUCUGACCCCCGAAGCUUGCUGGUGGUGAUCAAAGGGAAACAUACUAUUAACCGUCAAGAAAAUUUAGAGGGAUAUAAGAGAUAAUACACACUAGUUUCAUAGAAAGUAGAAUACAGCAGGUUGCAAAUUAGAAAUAGGCCAAAGGAAUGAAUCUUAUGUUUGAAGCUAAACGUACAAUGGAAGUGGGGUAAAAACAGCGGAGUAUCUAGUAUACCCAGGAGUUGCUUCAUGACAAUUUGAGUUGACUUAAUGAACAUAAGCAAAAAGGCCUAGGAAGUUAAAAAUAAUAUUUUUCAUGGUUCUAUGCAGAUUUAGGAACGGGGAUAGUUUAGUAGAGAAAAAGGCACACCACAGCAUUUUCUUCAAGCAAAUAUGCUUUUACCAUUAAAAAUAAAAUUUCCUAAAUAGCAAGACACCAUUCAGAAAAGCAUGUCAAUUUUGGCAGGGCACAGUGGCUCACGCCUGUAAUCCCAGCACUAUGGGAGACCAAGGUGGUGGAUCACUUGAGGUCAGGAGUUCGAGACCAGAAUUUUUUUUUUCUUUUUUUUUUCUGAGAUAGGGUCUAGUUCUGCCUAGGCUGGAGUGCAGUGGUGUAAUCAGUGCUCACUGUACUCUCAAUCUCCCAGGGCUCAGAUCCUCCCACUUCAGCUUCACAAAUAGCUGGAACCACAGGUGCCUGCCACCAUACCUGGCUAAUUUUUGUACUUUUUGUAGAGACAACGUUUUGCCAUGUUGCCCAGGCUGGUCUCAAACUUCUAGGCUCAAGUGAUCCACCAGCCUCAACCUCAGCCUCCAAAGUGCUGGGAUUAAAGGCGUGGGGCACUGCACCCGGACUAAAAAGAAUGUUAAUUCAAAAUUUUUAUUUAUUUUGGGAUUAAGUUCUCUCAGUGUCAGUAUCUGAAGGGUCCAAGUUGCCUAGACGCUGGUUAAGAUAUAACAAUAAUUUCUUCUCGUUUCAAUUGGAAUCCAAAGUUUUUCUCCAUAAUAAGAUGCAAAGCUCAGUAUCAGACAUUUAAAUAAUAAUAAAUACCCAAUGAUUUAUUUGUAAUACUAAGACUUUACACUUAGUACAAAGUUCUAAAUAUCUUACUCUUAAUUUUUAGGAUCCUUUUAGUUAGGAGAAUCUAAUCUUAAACCAAUACUUUUUUUAAAAGUUAUUAACAUUCUUUCAAUAAGCCUUUAAAUUUUACAUUUCAACAUUUAAUUUUAGAUCUUAAAGGUCAUAAUAUUUUAAAGCUGAAAGAAACUACUAACAUAUCAUGUUUGUUAUGAAGGGUAAAGCUUAAAGCAAGCCCCAAGGAGACAGAGCCAGAAAGUCUGAUGAUUGUAGAUAAGGGGGGAAAAAAAAUCAAGGAUGACUCCUAGUUUUCAAGCCUAAGAGAUAUAAAAAUAUAAAGGAAUCAUUGACUAAAGUAGAGUUCAGACACAAAGCUAAUUUGGGGGAAGAGUUGAGAUGCUGGUGGUGGUGGUGUUUUAAAUAAACAGUAUAAAACUAACUUUACCUUAUCAAUGAAGAAAAGCUUAUUUCUUCUUAAGGAGAUUGGAGUAGGGGAAAGGAGUUAUUCAUUGCCUCAACUUCAAAUAGGAAAUCUCUGUCUCUACCCCAAUACCUUUUUCAUUUGCCAAAAAUAGCUAAACAGUGCUGCAGAAAAAGUACCCCCCAAAAAGCUGAUUUUCCUCAGAAAUAAUACAAAAUAUUUUCAUUAUUUCUGAAAUAAUUUUAUUUAGAUUUAGAACUCCAAAAAUGUUUAUGUUCUCUAUUCCACCCUCUCAAAAAUGUUUAUGCUGUUGUUCCACCCUCUUCAGCAUUCCUUUAGCACUUUUAAUCUAAACCAAAUAGAACAGAAGAACAAAGAUAAUCUAAGAUAGCCUAUUUUAACUGCACUGUUAACUAACAUCUAAAUGAAUUCUAUUCAUUAUCUAAAUUUUAAAGAGACUGAUAACUUAUUUGACAAAGUAUUUACUAAAGAUGAAAGAGUUGGCUGGUUUGAGUGAUGCUGGCAGUAGUUAAGUGUGCCUGCCAACAAUCUAGUUCUAUAAACACUGAAUUCUGUUCAUCCAAUGGUUCCUUGUCGACAAGCCAUAAUCACAUUUCAACACACAUUAGUAGAUUUUAACAAAGUAGAAUUAAUCCUUUGUGUCUCCUUAUAGCCUAGGUUUGCAAGCAUUUUCAAAUUUUUAUUAGGAAAGUCUUUAAACAAUUAGCUCUGAAUAGUCAAACACAGAAGGAUGAAAACAAUCCAGAUGCAGAACUGGUUUUAUCAACUAUUUAUAACCUCUAAGUACAGUAUUAAGCUUCUGCUCAUAAACAUUUCCCUCCUAAAUUUCACUCAUUUUGAUUUAUUACUUAAAAGAUUGACUUGGUUUCUGAAAAUGUUUCUGAAAAAGAUAAACUCUACUUGGCAGUUACCUGUGAGCAGAACAGAGGAAAACAGGUUCAGUAGCAGGUACCAGGGGCUUUGAUAUAGCUGUAGUUUUUUUGUUUUGUUUUUUUGAGAUGGAUUCUUGCUCUGUUGCCCAGGCUGGAGUGCAGUGGUGCAAUCUCGGCUCACUGCAACCUCCGUCUCCCGGGUUCAAGCCCACUCUCCUGCCUUAGCCUCCUGAGUAGCUGGGAUUACAGACACCCGCCACAAUGCCCGGCUAAUUUUUUUGUAUUUUCAGUAGAGACAGGGUUUCACCAUGUUGGCCAGGCUGGUCUUCAACUCCUGACCUCAACUGAUCCACCCGCCUCAGCCUCCCAAAGUGCUGGGAUUACAGGUGUGAGCCACGGUGCCCGGCUGUAAUUUUUUUUUUAUAAAUGUAGAUGUACAUUAAUAUUUAAUAAAGCCAAGUAGUAGGUACACAGAUUUAUGGUUAAGUAAAUAAUUGGGGAGAAAAUGGUAUAAUUGCUUUGUCUCUCAACCUGGCAGCCCCUCCCCAAGAAUAAAAACUCCAUGGCUAAGAAAAGAUUUUGGUCAAAGGAGGAGAAAAAAUGAGGAAUAUUAUAUAAUUUAUAGGAAGACAAAUCCAGAUACUUCAGAGAAGAAUGAAAGGGAAAGUGUCACAGCACUAGGGACAGAGUAGGAGGGUCUCCAGAAAACAGGCAAGGACCAAAUACAAACCAAUGACAUAAUUUUGCCAAGAACUGGCCUACAUCAGUAACUAUUCACGAAGAUGCUUCUAAAAUUAUCCUUAAUAUCAUUUUGUUCCAGUUCUACAGCAUAUUACAGAUGUUUGGACUACAUGUCACUUAGAUGGCUCAUGAGUAGCUUUUCUACUUCCCAAUGUGUUUUUUCUUUUUUUGAGACAGGGUCUUGUUCUGUCACCCAUGCUGGAGUGCAGU